GUGUCCCACUGAACCAAACCGAUCAGAGACGCUACAAGGCGGAGAUGAGCCCGAGUCUGUACAACCAAGGCUGACCUGAAGCUGGGACAUACGGUAAACUUUAAUUUAACAGGCUCCGCACGGGGAGGGACGAGGUCAGAAGAGGUCACGUUUCACAAAUUAGUGGCGUGAAAGAAGAGGGGGGACUGCCGUGUGCUGACUCAUCGUUCCGUCUUAACUGGGAGGUGACCGGCGCAUGCACCUGGUAUGUGUUGCCACUCAGGUGGAGAUGGGUGGGGUCUCAGAGGAGAGAGAGAUAGAGAGAGAGAGAGAGAGAGAGGCAGGCAGAGAAAACAAA